UACUUAGCGCCAAAUGAAAAUGAAAAAAAUCAUUUGGUUUCCUCUCUCUCUCACUCGGUUUCAGCCCAUCUCUAAUAUCUGAACUCCAUCACCCUAAUCACGCCUCAUCCUCUCUCUCUCGCCUUCAUUUUAUCAGUUCCCUCUCCAUUCUCCAUCGCUCUCUCUCUCACCGAGUCUAUCGACUCUCUCCAUCACGCCAUGACCACGCCUAGCUAAAGCUCUCUCUCUAACAGAGUCUAUUGACUCUCUCUUCCUCAAGUCCCGAUACUCUAAAGUUCGACUGGACAACACCACGUUUAGUCUCUCUUCACUCUUUCCCGUUGAGCUGUUGGAGCAACACGAGCACGGAGCAGCUAAACCAAGACCAAGAGAAAAUUAAAACUAGAGAGGUUGUAUGCUAGCUAAUUCAAACACUCACAGGGCCUCUCUUUCUCACGCUCUCCUCUUUCCCUCGCCUCUCUCAAAUUCUCACCUCAUUGAAGCCUCUCUCGGAGUAGCUCAAGAGGUAAGGCAUUUUGAUAUUUUUUUUAACUUUUAUUUUGAUAUUUAGUGUUUUAGUUUGUUAAGUAAAACUUGUAUUGAUUUUUGUUUUGGUGUUGGGGUAUUAUCAGCGGGUAUAAGUCUUGGUUGCUUCCCUUGUUGCUGAUCUGGUUCUUCGAUCCCCUAUUUCACAAUCAGUUAAAACUUUUCUGGAUGGCUGCCUCCAAGAGAAGAGGCAAGAUACUUUGUGUGCAAGCAAUCUUUCACGGGAGACUCUUACUUUUGUUUGCAUUUUGCAAGUGGUGAUUCAAUUAGUCGAACUAUUCCUCCCGAGCUUGGAAAUCUUACCAAAUUGCACUAUCUAGAUCUUUCAUUCUCUUCUUCUAAAGAUGGUGUGUUGGUUGAUAAUCUUGACUGGCUCUCUCGUUUCACUUCUUUGAAAACCUUUCUAUUAAUACGAAACGAAUACUUAUAUCAUUACAAAUAUGCUUUCUUCUUGUUGGAGAUCAAAUCUUGUUUAUUCU